GACGAACGCUGGCGGCACGCCUAACACAUGCAAGUCGAACGGACUUACAUUGAAGCCUAGCGAUAUGUAAGUUAGUGGCGGACGGGUGAGUAACGCGUGGGUAACCUGCCUUGUACUGGGGGACAACAGUUGGAAACGACUGCUAAUACCGCAUAAGCGCACGGUAUCGCAUGAUACAGUGUGAAAAACUCCGGUGGUAUAAGAUGGACCCGCGUCUGAUUAGCUUGUUGGUGAGGUAACGGCCCACCAAGGCGACGAUCAGUAGCCGGCCUGAGAGGGUGAACGGCCACAUUGGGACUGAGACACGGCCCAAACUCCUACGGGAGGCAGCAGUGGGGAAUAUUGCACAAUGGGGGAAACCCUGAUGCAGCGACGCCGCGUGAGUGAUGAAGUAUUUCGGUAUGUAAAACUCUAUCAGCAGGGAAGAUAAUGACGGUACCUGACUAAGAAGCACCGGCUAAAUACGUG
rnacentral:rRNA from 1 species